rnacentral:rRNA from 1 species
UAACAAGGUUUCCGUAGGUGAACCUGCGGAAGGAUCAUUAUCGAGUUCUGACUGGGUUGUAGCUGGCCUUCCGAGGCAUGUGCACGCCCUGCUCAUCCCACUCUACACCUGUGCACUUACUGUGGGUUUACGGGUCGUGAAACGGGCUCGUUUAUUCGGGCUUGUUGAGCGCACUUGUUGCCUGCGUUUAUCACAAACUCUAUAAAGUAUCAUAAUGUGUAUUGCGAUGUAACGCAUCUAUAUACAACUUUCAGCAACGGAUCUCUUGGCUCUCGCAUCGAUGAAGAACGCAGCGAAAUGCGAUAAGUAAUGUGAAUUGCAGAAUUCAGUGAAUCAUCGAAUCUUUGAACGCACCUUGCGCUCCUUGGUAUUCCGAGGAGCAUGCCUGUUUGAGUGUCAUGAAAUCUUCAAUCUACAAACUUCUUAUGGAGUUUGUAGGCUUGGACUUGGAGGCUUGUCGGUCCCUUUACGAGGUCGGCUCCUCUUAAAUGCAUUAGCUUGGUUCCUUGCGGAUCGGCUUGUCGGUGUGAUAAUGUCUACGCCGCGACCGUGAAGCGUGUUUGGGCGAGCUUCUAACCGUCUCGUUACAGAGACAACUUUUAUGACCUCUGACCUCAAAUCAGGUAGGACUACCCGCUGAACUU